rnacentral:rRNA from 1 species
AGAGUUUGAUCAUGGCUCAGGAUGAACGCUGGCGGCGUGCCUAACACAUGCAAGUCGAGCGAUUUACUUCGGUAAAGAGCGGCGGACGGGUGAGUAACGCGUGGGUAACCUGCCCUGUACACACGGAUAACAUACCGAAAGGUAUGCUAAUACGAGAUAAUAUACUUUUAUCGCAUGGUAGAAGUAUCAAAGCUCCGGCGGUACAGGAUGGACCCGCGUCUGAUUAGCUAGUUGGUAAGGUAACGGCUUACCAAGGCGACGAUCAGUAGCCGACCUGAGAGGGUGAUCGGCCACAUUGGAACUGAGACACGGUCCAAACUCCUACGGGAGGCAGCAGUGGGGAAUAUUGCACAAUGGGCGAAAGCCUGAUGCAGCAACGCCGCGUGAGCGAUGAAGGCCUUCGGGUCGUAAAGCUCUGUCCUCAAGGAAGAUAAUGACGGUACUUGAGGAGGAAGCCCCGGCUAACUACGUGCCAGCAGCCGCGGUAAUACGUAGGGGGCUAGCGUUAUCCGGAAUUACUGGGCGUAAAGGGUGCGUAGGUGGUUUCUUAAGUCAGAGGUGAAAGGCUACGGCUCAACCGUAGUAAGCCUUUGAAACUGGGAAACUUGAGUGCAGGAGAGGAGAGUGGAAUUCCUAGUGUAGCGGUGAAAUGCGUAGAUAUUAGGAGGAACACCAGUUGCGAAGGCGGCUCUCUGGACUGUAACUGACACUGAGGCACGAAAGCGUGGGGAGCAAACAGGAUUAGAUACCCUGGUAGUCCACGCCGUAAACGAUGAGUACUAGCUGUCGGAGGUUACCCCCUUCGGUGGCGCAGCUAACGCAUUAAGUACUCCGCCUGGGAAGUACGCUCGCAAGAGUGAAACUCAAAGGAAUUGACGGGGACCCGCUCAAGUAGCGGAGCAUGUGGUUUAAUUCGAAGCAACGCGAAGAACCUUACCUAAGCUUGACAUCCUUUUGACCGAUGCCUAAUCGCAUCUUUCCCUUCGGGGACAGAAGUGACAGGUGGUGCAUGGUUGUCGUCAGCUCGUGUCGUGAGAUGUUGGGUUAAGUCCCACAACGAGCGCAACCCUUGCCUUUAGUUGCCAGCAUUAAGUUGGGCACUCUAGAGGGACUGCCAGGGAUAACCUGGAGGAAGGUGGGGAUGACGUCAAAUCAUCAUGCCCCUUAUGCUUAGGGCUACACACGUGCUACAAUGGGUGGUACAGAGGGCAGCCAAGUCGUGAGGCGGAGCUAAUCCCUUAAAGCCAUUCUCAGUUCGGAUUGUAGGCUGAAACUCGCCUACAUGAAGCUGGAGUUACUAGUAAUCGCAGAUCAGAAUGCUGCGGUGAAUGCGUUCCCGGGUCUUGUACACACCGCCCGUCACACCACGGGAGUUGGGGGCGCCCGAAGCCGGAUUGCUAACCUUUUGGAAGCGUCCGUCGAAGGUGAAAUCAAUAACUGGGGUGAAGUCGUAACAAGGUA